rnacentral:lncRNA from 1 species
AGGAUGAUCUCAAAUCUUAUGUUCGGGAACCUGCAAACCUCGGACCACCACAUCAAGGGAAAUGAAGUGAACCUUUCACUUGAUGACAAGACUUUGUAGAAAACCACUAAAUUAGCUACUCUAACAUCAUCAUGCAGGUGCAUGGGUCUCCUUGAACAAAUUAUUCCAGAGUAAGAUGGCCUAUUCCUCCAUCAUUCCAGUGUUAUACCAGGAAACCAGGUUUGAUUAGGAUUUCAUUGUGUGUAGCAUAGUAUUUGUUUCAGGGCAUAUGCUUUGAUCAAAAUCUAUGUAAUGAAGACGUAUACUCCAUGAUAUCUAGAAUUAAUCAUUGAACUAUGUCUAUGGCUAAACACAAAUGUUACACUCAUUUACUUAUUAAACACCUAUUU